ACGGGGGCGGCGCGAGCCGUCCCAUCCCACACCUCUGUGAACAACCGUCCCCGGCGCGAGCCGGUGGGCAACCUUUGCACCUGUCGUACUACGUCUGGAAAGUAACACAAAAGAGUACAACUCUCAACGAUGGAUCUCUUGGCUCUCGCAUCGAUGAAGAACGCAGCGAAUUGCGAUAUGUAAUGUGAAUUGCAGAAUUCAGUGAAUCAUCGAAUCUUUGAACGCACCUUGCGCCCUCUGGUAUUCCGGAGGGCAUGCCUGUUUGAGUGUCAUGUCAACCUUCAUCCCGCCGGGUCCUGCCCGGCGGGGUUGGAAUUGGGCGCUGCCGUCUCUGGCUCGCCUCAAAUGCAUUGGUGGCCGCCUGGUCCUGCUACGGCGUAAUACGUUUCGUCGGCGCAUCGCCAAGGAGCCUCCUUGAAACCGCCUCUUACGAGGAUUUGUACGAUUGACCUCAGAUCAGGUAGGACUACCCGCUGAACUUAAGCAUAUCAAUA
rnacentral:rRNA from 1 species